rnacentral:rRNA from 1 species
AGUGAACGCUGGCGGCGUGCUUAACACAUGCAAGUCGAACGAGAACGGAAUAUAGCUUGCUAUAUUUGUCAGCUAAGUGGCGCACGGGUGAGUAAUGUAUAGAUAACCUGCCCUUAAGAAAGGAAUAACAGUUGGAAACGACUGCUAAUGCCCUAUAUGCCUUUAAUACAUAAGUAUGCAAGGGAAACGCUUUAGUGCUUAAGGAUGGGUCUGUAUGGUAUCAGCUUGUUGGUGAGGUAAUGGCUCACCAAGGCUAUGACGCCUAACUGGUUUGAGAGGAUGAUCAGUCACACUGGAACUGAGACACGGUCCAGACUCCUACGGGAGGCAGCAGUGGGGAAUAUUGCACAAUGGACGAAAGUCUGAUGCAGCAACGCCGCGUGGAGGAUGACACAUUUCGGUGCGUAAACUCCUUUUAUAUAGGAAGAUAAUGACGGUACUUAACGAGGAAGCCACGGCUAACUACGUGCCAGCCGCCGCAGUAA